rnacentral:sRNA from 1 species
AGUACUCUGGUCAUUAUUUGGUCUCCGUCGGUUAAUGAUGAAUUCGAUGGAGACAACUUCCCGUUUU